ACUCACCUACUAGUACAGCGUGAGCAUUGUUGUAUGGGCUUGGGGUUAGGAGACAUCAGCAACUCAAACGCAUGUUUCCGGUACAAAUGUUGCUGCUACGACCAAGCCAAAAUGAAUAAGCAAGAUUAGUGCGCCGUCACUACCGUGAGUUCCUUGGCAGCCUGACUUAUGAUGCAGGCAAGGUAGCCUGUCGACACCAUGAGAGACAAGGCUGUGGAAGAACUUGUCUAGAGGGUACACAAAUGAAGAGAACGCACAUUAUCCAUAUCGGGUGUAGGCGACCAUCCGUGUCGUUUUGAAAACCAGCACCGAUCAAGGGGAAUCAUGAGCACCAGGGUAAAAUCAACACUUUGUCUUAUCAGUGCCUAUAGUCUCAACUUGUCUAAAUCUUUUACUUAUUAACUCACCUGGACUUAAAUCUUGUUUGGUUAUUGAUAUUAUUUUCCUUUUAACACUUACCAUCUGAGAUUUGGAGCAUUUAUUUGAGUAUCUAAAUUGUUUUCAAAUUGAAAAGUUUUCAAGUACAUAAUCUUGAGUCUCACCCAAAAUUCGAGCCAUGGAAGAUUCUAAGAUGUGUCAUGGAAGAUUCAAAGACGUGUCACUCCAGGCACCAGUCCAGAGUUUCUUGAAAAUGUGUUGAACUAGAAAAUGUUUUCUGGCUUCGUUUCCUGCCAAAUUUUGUCCUGCUAAUUUCUUGGUAACUCCAACAAUACCCUUCUAUUACGUAUUGUUUAGUGCCUUCAGCGCGUACUUGCCAAUAUGCGUUUGACGUGAACUAAUGAUGAUGUUCAAUAAUACUCAACGCACGGCACAUUUGCAUGUCCAAAGAGGCCAUAAACAUGUUUUUUUUUUCUGAGAAGUGAUUUCGCAAGCUAAUAAAAGUAAACAAUUUAUUGCAUUAUGCUGGUAGACAAUAAUGGUCUAUGUUAAUCAAAUACGUAAUAAAGGAUCACUUUGUCUGAAGUCCUGCUGGGCCAGGUUUCAACAUAGGUUUUGAAAAAGUCCAAGCCUGACCACCCCAUGGCUCAAAGAAAAUAGCAUUUUGUGUUCUUUUCGUAACCAAAGAUACUAACUUAAAAUCGUGAUUACAAAAGAUAAGCCCCUCAUCUUUUUGCUGAUGAUUAUACUUUGUAAGUCAAAAUUUACAUUUUAGAAUUGAAAUUUAGAGUUGAUGUUAUGUUUCUUCAUUGUAAUUUAUUUUUGAGCAUUUACUUUUAUAUCACUAACAACACGUGCAUAAAAGUUUACCUACAUGUUAUUUUUUAAUCCUUAAUAAACCAUCUCAUUUAUGCUUAAUAUUCAACUUCCAGUGACUAAUUACUGAGCUGGAAACAGAUAGUAAUUAAACGGCACACACAAUUUAAUACGAAACAUACAAUUCACAUUCGAGCUUGGGCACACGCAAUUAAUAUCAACGUACUCUGGCUCACAGGACAGUCAAGG
rnacentral:lncRNA from 1 species